UACGUAGGGGGCAAGCGUUGUUCGGAAUUACUGGGCGUAAAGCGUGCGCAGGCGGUUUUGUAAGUCUGUCGUGAAAUCCCCGGGCCCAACCUGGGAAUUGCGAUGGAGACUGCAAGGCUAGAAUCUGGCAGAGGGGGGUAGAAUUCCACGUGUAGCAGUGAAAUGCGUAGAGAUGUGGAGGAACACCGAUGGCGAAGGCAGCCCCCUGGGUCAAGAUUGACGCUCAUGCACGAAAGCGUGGGGAGCAAACAGG
rnacentral:rRNA from 1 species